rnacentral:rRNA from 1 species
AUAAGCGCCGGUAAGGUGAUAUGAACCGUUAUAACCGGCGAUACCCGAAUGGGGAAACCCAGUGUGAUUCGUCACACUAUCAUUAACUGAAUCCAUAGGUUAAUGAGGCGAACCGGGGGAACUGAAACAUCUAAGUACCCCGAGGAAAAGAAAUCAACCGAGAUUCCCCCAGUAGCGGCGAGCGAACGGGGAGGAGCCCAGAGCCUGAAUCAGCAUGUGUGUUAGUGGAAGCGUCUGGAAAGGCGCGCGAUACAGGGUGACAGCCCCGUACACAAAAGCGCAUGUGCUGUGAGCUCGAUGAGUAGGGCGGGACACGUGGUAUCCUGUCUGAAUAUGGGGGGACCAUCCUCCAAGGCUAAAUACUCCUGACUGACCGAUAGUGAACCAGUACCGUGAGGGAAAGGCGAAAAGAACCCCGGCGAGGGGAGUGAAAAAGAACCUGAAACCGUGUACGUACAAGCAGUGGGAGCACAGGUUUACCUGUGUGAC